UACAGAGGGUGCGAGCGUUAAUCGGAAUGACUGGGCGUAAAGGGCGCGUAGGCGGUUAUAUAAGUGAGAUGUGAAAUCCCUGGGCUUAACCUAGGAAUUGCAUUUUAGACUGUAUGGCUAGAGUGCAGUAGAGGGUGGUGGAAUUUCCGGUGUAGCGGUGAAAUGCGUAGAGAUCGGAAGGAACAUCAGUGGCGAAGGCGACCACCUGGAUCUGUCAGCAG
rnacentral:rRNA from 1 species